CGGAGCCGGGAUUGGAACCUUGGGAGUCGGAGGGACCUGGGUUCCGAUCCCGGCUCGGCC
rnacentral:pre_miRNA from 1 species